GCAGUCGAACGAACUCUGGUAUUGAUUGGUGCUUGCAUCAUGAUUUACAUUUGAGUGAGUGGCGAACUGGUGAGUAACACGUGGGAAACCUGCCCAGAAGCGGGGGAUAACACCUGGAAACAGAGGCUAAUACCGCAUAACAACUUGGACCGCAUGGUCCGAGUUUGAAAGAUGGCUUCGGCUAUCACUUUUGGAUGGUCCCGCGGCGUAUUAGCUAGAUGGUGGGGUAACGGCUCACCAUGGCAAUCCAUACGUAGCCGACCUGAGAGGGUAAUCGGCCACAUUGGGACUGAGACACGGCCCAAACUCCUACGGGAGGCAGCAGUAGGGAAUCUUCCACAAUGGACGAAAGUCUGAUGGAGCAACGCCGCGUGAGUGAAGAAGGGUUUCGGUAUUCGUAAAACUCUGUUGUUAAAGAAGAACAUAUCUGAGAGUAACUGUUCAGGUAUUGACGGUAUUUAACCAGAAAGCCACGGCUAACUACGUGCCAGCAGCCGCGGUAAUACGUAGGUGGCAAGCGUUGUCCGGAUUUAUUGGGCGUAAAGCGAGCGCAGGCGGUUUUUAAAGUUGCUGAUGUGAAAGCCUUCGGCUCAACCGAAGAAGUGCAUCGGAAACUGGGAAACUUGA
rnacentral:rRNA from 1 species